GAAAAUGCUGUGCAGGCUGGGCACAGUGGCUCAUGCCUGUAAUCCCAACACUUUGGGAGGCUGAGGUGGGAGGAUUGCUUGAGCUCAGGAGGUUGAGGCUGUGGUGAGCGGAGAUCAUGCCGCUGUACUUCAGCCUGGGUGACAGAGUGAGACCCUGUCUCGAAAAAAAAAAAAAAAAAAAAAAGAAAAGAAAAAAAAAAGAAAAUGCUUCUUGACUGUCACCACUCCCCAGUUCCACACCACUCCUCAGUCCCUGCCUCCCAGCCCUUGGCAGCCAGCAAUCUGCAUUCUGUCUCUAAAAAUCUCCCCAUUCUGGACAUUUCCUAUAAAUGGGAUUGUACACUAUAUGGCCUUUUGUGUCUGGCUUCUUGUAUUCAGCAUAAUGUUUUCAAAGUUCAUCCAUGUUGCAGCAUGCAUCGGCAUUUUAUUUCUUUUUAUGAGACUGAAUAAUAUUCCAUUGUAUGGAUAUACCACAUUUUGUUUAUCCAUUCAUCAGUGGGGGACAUUGGGGUUGUUUCCACUGUUGGGGUUGUGAAUAGUGCUGCUGUGAACAUUCUUGUGCAAGCUUUUGUCUGAACAAGUGUAUUUAAUUUGUUUUAGUCUAUACUAAGAGUGGAAUUUCAGGGUCCUGUCGUGCUUCUGUGUUUAGCUUAAGGUGGAACUGCCAAACUUCCAUGGUAGCCGUACCAUUUUACAUUCCCGCUAGCAAUGUGUGAGGGAUCUCAUUUCUCCACAUCUUCACCAACACUUAUGUUUCAUUAAAGAUUUUUUAUUAUAACCACCCUA